GACGAACGCUGGCGGCGUGCCUAAUACAUGCAAGUAGAACGCUGAAGGAGGAGCUUGCUUCUCUGGAUGAGUUGCGAACGGGUGAGUAACGCGUAGGUAACCUGCCUGGUAGCGGGGGAUAACUAUUGGGAACGAUAGCUAAUACCGCAUAAGAGUAGAUGUUGCAUGACAUUUGCUUAAAAGGUGCAAUUGCAUCACUACCAGAUGGACCUGCGUUGUAUUAGCUAGUUGGUGGGGUAACGGCUCACCAAGGCGACGAUACAUAGCCGACCUGAGAGGGUGAUCGGCCACACUGGGACUGAGACACGGCCCAGACUCCUACGGGAGGCAGCAGUAGGGAAUCUUCGGCAAUGGACGGAAGUCUGACCGAGCAACGCCGCGUGAGUGAAGAAGGUUUUCGGAUCGUAAAGCUCUGUUGUAAGAGAAGAACGAGUGUGAGAGUGGAAAGUUCACACUGUGACGGUAUCUUACCAGAAAGGGACGGCUAACUACGUGCCAGCAGCCGCGGUAAUACGUAGGUGGCAAGCGUUAUCCGGAUUUAUUGGGCGCAAAGAGAGUGCAGGCGGUUUUCUAAGUCUGAUGUGAAAGCCUUCGGCUUAACCGGAGAAGUGCAUCGGAAGCUGGAUAACUUGAGUGCAGAAGAGGGUAGUGGAACUCCAUGUGUAGCGGUGGAAUGCGUAGAUAUAUGGAAGAACACCAGUGGCGAAGGCGGCUACCUGGUCUGCAACUGACGCUGAGACUCGAAAGCAUGGGUAGCGAACAGG
rnacentral:rRNA from 1 species